AUUGAACGCUGGCGGCAUGCUUUACACAUGCAAGUCGAACGGUAACAGGUUAAGCUGACGAGUGGCGAACGGGUGAGUAAUGCAUCGGAACGUGCCCGGUCGUGGGGGAUAACGCGGCGAAAGCUGCGCUAAUACCGCAUACGAUCUGAGGAUGAAAGCGGGGGACCGUAAGGCCUCGCGCGAUCGGAGCGGCCGAUGUCAGAUUAGGUAGUUGGUGGGGUAAAGGCUCACCAAGCCGACGAUCUGUAGCUGGUCUGAGAGGACGACCAGCCACACUGGGACUGAGACACGGCCCAGACUCCUACGGGAGGCAGCAGUGGGGAAUUUUGGACAAUGGGCGCAAGCCUGAUCCAGCAAUGCCGCGUGCAGGAAGAAGGCCUUCGGGUUGUAAACUGCUUUUGUACGGAGCGAAAAGGCUCUCUCUAAUACAGGGGGCUCAUGACGGUACCGUAAGAAUAAGCACCGGCUAACUACGUGCCAGCCGCCGCGGUAAAAC
rnacentral:rRNA from 1 species